rnacentral:tRNA from 1 species
GUAGUCGUGGCCGAGUGGUUAAGGCGAUGGACUAGAAAUUCAUUCGCAGGUUCGAAUCCUGCUGACUACG